rnacentral:rRNA from 1 species
GUGGGGAAUCUUGCGCAAUGGGCGAAAGCCUGACGCAGCCAUGCCGCGUGAAUGAUGAAGGUCUUAGGAUUGUAAAAUUCUUUCACCGGGGACGAUAAUGACGGUACCCGGAGAAGAAGCCCCGGCUAACUCCGUGCCAGCAGCCGCGGUAAUACGGAGGGGGCUAGCGUUGUUCGGAUUUACUGGGCGUAAAGGGCGCGUAGGCGGACAGCUUAGUCAGAGGUGAAAGCCCAGGGCUCAACCAUGGAAUUGCCUUUGAUACUGGCUGGCUUGAGUUUGGGAGAGGUGAAUGGAACUCCGAGUGUAGGGGUGAAAUUCGUAGAUAUUCGGAAGAACACCAGUGGCGAAGGCGACUCACUGGCCCAAUACUGACGCUGAGGCGCGAAAGCGUGGGGAGCAAACAGGAUUAGAAACCCGGGUAGUCC